rnacentral:rRNA from 1 species
AGAGUUUGAUCCUGGCUCAGGAUGAACGCUGGCGGCGUGCUUAACACAUGCAAGUCGAACGAAGAUACUUAAAAUGAGAGCUUCGGCAGGAAUUUUAUUUAUCUUAGUGGCGGACGGGUGAGUAACGUGUGGGCAACCUGCCCUAUACUGGGGAAUAAUCACUGGAAACGGUGACUAAUACCGCAUGUCAUCACGAGAAGGCAUCUUUUUGUGAGAAAAGGAGUAAUUCGGUAUAGGAUGGGCCCGCAUCUGAUUAGCUAGUUGGUGAGAUAACAGCCCACCAAGGCGACGAUCAGUAGCCGACCUGAGAGGGUGAUCGGCCACAUUGGGACUGAGACACGGCCCAAACUCCUACGGGAGGCAGCAGUGGGGAAUAUUGCACAAUGGGGGAAACCCUGAUGCAGCAACGCCGCGUGAAGGAAGAAGGUUUUCGGAUCGUAAACUUCUAUCAACAGGGACGAAGAAAGUGACGGUACCUGAAUAAGAAGCCCCGGCUAACUACGUGCCAGCAGCCGCGGUAAUACGUAGGGGGCAAGCGUUAUCCGGAAUUACUGGGUGUAAAGGGAGCGUAGGCGGCACGCCAAGCCAGAUGUGAAAGCCCGAGGCUUAACCUCGCGGAUUGCAUUUGGAACUGGCGAGCUAGAGUACAGGAGAGGAAAGCGGAAUUCCUAGUGUAGCGGUGAAAUGCGUAGAUAUUAGGAAGAACACCAGUGGCGAAGGCGGCUUUCUGGACUGAAACUGACGCUGAGGCUCGAAAGCGUGGGGAGCAAACAGGAUUAGAUACCCUGGUAGUCCACGCCGUAAACG